rnacentral:lncRNA from 1 species
UGGUCAUCUUGUUUCACAGCUGCCAUGAGCUGAGCAGCUUUCUUCUUCCACAUCCUUCUGCCAUGAUGUUCUGCCUCACCUCAGGCACAGAGCAAUGGAAUCAGCUGACUUCGGAUAGAGACCUCUGAAACUGUGAGUCAAAAUUAAACUUUUGUUCUCUAAGUUGUUGUUCUCAGGUAUUUUGGUCAGUGACAAACAGCUGACUUACACAAGCAUGCAACAAUCCUUGUGUGCCUGCAUUAUUAUUUCUUCUAAAAUCUGUAAAUUAUAAAUGACUCUUUUUCUCUAGCCUGUCUGCCUUAGCCUCCAUCUUGAUCCCUUUUUUCCUAUUCUCCAAGGACCUUGCUUACUACCACUUAAUGUCAAGAACACCACAAACUUUCUAUUCCCUUUUCCCUACGAAUAUUCAGUAUCUUUAUAUCUGUACCCAUACAUUUCAAAGUUAAGAGUGAAAAAUAUCCUUCUUCCCAUUAUAGACAAUUUCCCAUUACAGAUCUAUAAUUUCCAUGCCUGUACCUAUGAUCUAGCCAUGUUUCAUAUGAACAUUUGAGUAGAUUAUCUUCAUGUAUUUUCUAUACUAUUCUGUAUAUUUGUAUUGAAAUUUUUGCAAUAAUAUUGUAUAUUUUCCUACUCUGGAUUAUUUGCAUUGCUUUAUAUUAUUAAAGGCUGCUUUAAAAUACUAUUUAUUUUUCUGAUAGUACUGGGAAUCAAACCAGAGCCUCACGCAAGUGUUCUGCCACUGAGCCAUACUCCUAAUAUAUAAUUUUAAUGACCAUAUGGUAGACUUUCCAUAAUUCUCAUAAAAAUACCGUUUCCUUUUCUAAACUUAGUGUUGGAUUCACUACCCUUAUAUAUAAAUAUUUCCAGAUUUUGGAUUGCCUUCAGAUAAAUUUCCCAGGAGUAGAAUCACUGGAUUUAAGGCAUGAAUAUUUUUAAUAUUCUUGACAUAUUUCUAAAUCAAGCACAGUAGGGUACAAUGCAAGUUGUUGCAACCUUUUUUUCCAAAAAUGAGGCAAUUUAGCAAUAUUAUUCAAUUAAAUCAUGCCUCAUAGUCCAGCAAUCAUAUAUAUAUAUAUAAAAAUAAAACUGGGGAUUUAACCCAGGGGCACUUUACCACUGAGCUAUAAUGUCUGCUCUUUAUAUUUUUAAUUUUAAAAUAGAGUCUCACAAAAGUUACAUAGGCCUUUUCUAGACUGCUGAGGCUGGCCUCCAUCUGGCAUUCCUCCUGCCUCAACUUUUCAAAUUGCUGGGGUUACACACAUGUGCCACUGCAUACAGCAGGACUUAAAAUUUAAAAAUAAAAUGUACUGGUUGUUUCAUUUGUUUGUAUCUGAUUUGGGUAUAAACUUGGUCUUUUCCUUCUAUAAAAUAGUGUUAUUUUUCUAUUUUAGGACUGUUGUAAAGAUAAGAAAUAACCCACAUAAAAUAUUUUUUGGUUUUUGUGGUAUAAGCCAAAGUGGAAUAAAAUUAGUUCUUUACAAAUAGCCUAAUAUCAGAGAACUGCUCAGAGAUGGAUGGGUGGGAUUUAUCUCUUCAACAGGGCAUUUUUUUUUUAAUUUAUUCUUUAAUAGCAUUUUUGUAAACUGGUAUAUAAAAUGGCUGAAUAGAGGUGCCUGGCAAUCACCUGAUCUUCCACAAAGAAUCACCAGAGCAACAGAUAUACAGCUGCGUUUUGAAGUAGGUGAUUGUGGGAAAACACUGGAAAUUAACAGAAAAAUGGAUCCUCCUAAGAUUCAGAAUCCUGAGAUAAUAACAUGGUAAAAGAAACAAAAUAUCCUGAUAUCUGCUGGCCCAAUUUCUUUGCUAGAAGAAGGAAGGUCUCCCCUCUGCAGGGUAAGGGUGAAAGCAAAUCCCAGCAAAUGCUAUUAGCACCAAUGCUGGCAAUCCUAGCUCUUGGAGUGUUUCAAGACCUUCACAGACUUGCAGCCUAAUGAGAUAACUAAUCUGAAAUCUGCACAGUAACCUUGCUUUGGAAAUGACUUCACAUUAUCUCCUAGUGAAUCUCCAGGGUGCUAUAGCUAGAAGUAAUCUUAAGAAAGGACCUACUGUCUGAAUUUGAAUUACUUUAUGGGUCAGAAACCCCUGCAUAUUCCCAUCUCUGUGAAUAUUCCCCAGAACAUUUCAUUGAAGUGGCUCAGCAAACCAAACCUGGCCCAGUUGAGUGACUCAAAUCUGCUGACUGCCCUGAACUUUAGACAAUGGCUGUUAUGACACAGAGGGCACCACCCUCUGAGAGUUGCAUGUGGAUUCACACCAGUGCUAGGACUUAAGGCAGUCAUCCAGGAGGUUCCCAUCACCCAGCCCUGCAUACUAACCGGGUAGGGAAAGAACCCCAGGGGUUUCUACUAUUGCUCCACCCAUAGGGGCUUGUUGCAGGCCACUAGGGAGACUUGAGCCACCAGGUUCUCUGGCUGUCAUCCUGUCCCUAGAACACAUGGGCUGAGAGGGUUUACAGAGAACUUUUGCCCAGCACUAGCUCCCUUCCCUUCUCAAUGAUUCCUUAAUCACUUCACUUGAAGGAGCUGGGGGAAGAAAACCCCUGACUGUCAGUUACCCUGACAGUCAGUUACCCUGACCCGGUGUCUACAGAGCCAGUGGAGGCCUACAGGAAUUUUGUCUGGCUCCAGCCAUGACCUAUUACUGCUUGUUCUCUACUGGGUACUACAGAUGAAAGAUCUGGGGAGAAAAGUCCUGGCUUUUGUGCUGUCCCCAGGCAUGCCAAGACUUGGAGGAUGAAAUCCUGUUCCUGGGCAGGCACACCCAGAAAAGCAGCAAAGGAACACCGCUAUUCCUGCUGUCACCACACCUACACAGUUCCCACCACAGGAGACUCUGCAUAUUACCUGAUCAAGCAGUGCUGCCAGGAUUUGGUUUGUCAGAGAGCGGGUGCUGUGAUUCCUGCCACCAACUCUCCCAGGAAAACACAUACUGGAGGCAUCAAAAUGGCUCAUUCAAGACAUACUACAGAGCCAUCACCAAAACAGCAAUUAUAUGGGCAUAAAAGCAGUAUAGAGAGCCAACCCAAGAACAAAUCCAAGUGUCUAUAGCCAACUGAUUCUCAACAAAGAAUGCCAAAAAUAUACAUUCAAGAAAAAACAUCUUUAACAAAGGGUGUUAGGAAACACAGAUAUCUGCAAGUAUAAGAUUGAAACUUAACCCUUAUCUCUCAUCCUGUACAAAAAUCAACUUACAAUGGACAAAGACCUUAAUGUAACACCUGAAACUAUGAAACUACUAGAGGAAAUUAUAGAGGAAGCACUUCAAGAUACUGGUACAGGCAAUGGUUUUCUGUAUAGUAGCUCGAAAGCACAGGAAACAAAAUCAAAAGUUGACAAGUGGGAUCAAAAAAGCUGCUGUACUGCAAAAGGAACAAUUAACAAAAAAUACCUACCUGCCAGCUGCUGUUCAUCUAACAGAGGGUUCAUAUCUAGAAUUAAAUUUUUAAAAUUUACCUAAAAAACCAAGUGAUUUAAUUAAAAUAUGGGCAAAUGAUCUAAGUUAGUCACUUCUCAAAAGAAGAAAUACAAAUAGCCAACAAAUUUAUGAGAAGAUGCUCAGCAUCAUUAACUGUCAGGGAAACACAAGUCAAAACUACAAUAAGAUACCAUUUCAACCUGGUUAGAAUAAUUAUUACAAAAACUGAAAAUAACAAAUGUAGAGAAAAAAGAACUCUUAUACAUGGUUGAUGGGAAUGUAAGUUAGAAAAUCCAAUAUGAAAAAUGGUAUGGAAUUUCUUUAAACAAAAAUCCAGCUAUCCCACCUCUGAGUAUAUAGCUAAAGGAAAUGCAGUCACCAUAAAACAAAACACACAUGGCUGUAUACCCAUGUUCACUGCAGCACUAUUCACAAAAGCUAAGACAAUGAAUCACCCUAGUUGCUCAUCAACAGGAGAAUGGAGAAAGAAAUGUGCUGUAAAUACACAAUGCAGUUAUUAUCUGGUGAAAAAAGAAUAAAAGAAUAUUCUGCUACUUGGAACAAAACAGAUGAAAAUAAGAGGACAUUGGGUGAAAUAAACCUGACACAGGAAGACAAGUAUCUCAUGUUCUCUCAUGUAUGGAAACUAAAGAAAAAGUUAACCUCAAAGUAGAAUAGUGAUUACUGGAGUCUGGGAAAGAUGUGGAGGAGUGGGACUUGGAUGUGAUCAAUACACACUGUAUGCAAAUAACACACUGAAUCACAUCAAUAUGUACAAUUGAUUUGUAUUAAUAAAGCAUUUGCCUAGAUCAUGUCUUUUACUCUCUUUCUACUGGAAGAUGAAUUGUCUAAAAUUGUACACAAGCUAAGGUAUUGCUGACAGUACAUUUUGUCAAAACUACCAGGGACUAUAUUUUAAAAACAUCAAUAUAUGUGGAGAAGCUGCAGAAUCAUCCUUAUGCAUCGCAGUUCAAGGACUGCAAUGAUGAAUCCAGGAGUUUUCUUCUCAGCGUAUCUCAUGAAUGGGUGUUUGCUGAACAUAAUGAGGUAUAAAUGCAUGGUAGUUUUUAAAUGAAACAAGAAAAGAAUGAUUUUAACUAUGUGAAAUUAUUGAUAAUCACUGUUUUUGGCCCGAAAUGAUUUUUAAUGACUAAAGUUCAUAGUUGAAUUAGGUACUAUUUAUUUUUAGUAGAUGCUUGAAAUUUUCUGCAUAGCAGUCUCCUGUCAUUAUUAAAUGAAGCUGUACUAAAUGUAUCUUUCAGCCUCUCCUUGAAAGUAUUGGAUUUUAAUCCAAUUCAACAAUCCAUAACAUUCGUGAACUACCUGAGAGUCAUCCCUCAGUAUAUAUGGGAGACUGGUUCCAGGAACCCCCUCUCCCACUACCAAAAUCUGCAGAUGCAAAUAUCCCUUAUAUAAAAUGGUGUGGCAUCUGUUCUGUUGUACACAAAAAACAUAAAUCCGAGACAUAGAUAGUUGAUGUGUGUAUAGUUUGGUCACUCUACAUAGUUAGGGUUAGUGUCUGCCAUGAAUCAGACAGCUGAGAGGCUUCUCUGCUGGUUGCAGGGAAAUUCUAGAGGAUCGCUGUAGUACUCGCAGGAUGGGCACACCAAGUUCAUGAGCAUCCUGAGCUGGAGCAGCAAUAACUGCCACCCCACUGCAGUCAAUUUUCAUGAGCAUUUCUGCCUAUGGGGACUGGAUUACAUCUGACACUGGAGAAGUGUCAUCACUGAAAGAGCAGUACAAUGCCCUGUGUUUAGAAACAGGAAAUGUAUAACAGUAUACCAUAAAGAAAGUCUCUUGUCAUUGACAGUGAAAAAAACCAACCUUUAUCAUUAAGGAGGCUGUAUUCAGUGUAUGUAUAUGUUUAAAAAUAUUAAAUUCUCUUACAGAAAGUUAAAUAUUGUUCAUACCUCCUGGGAACUCACAAUCUGAACUGUCAUUCAAUUUAUAUCUUGCAUACCACAUGUAAGUCAUCACAUUCAUUUUUCUUCUUUGGCAAACACUGGAAGAUAAAAAAGGCAGAUUAUUCAAUAUGUAAAAUUCUUAAUUUACAGGGAAUAGGCCCUCAGCAGUUAGACAGAAAAGAUCCCUAUCAGUUUCACAAUUUCAUUGGGCAGUGUACAUUAAAAAAUUAUAAAGUAAAUCACUUUAUUUUGAGUUUUUUGAUAAAAUUUUACAAUAUUUUAAUGCUUAUAAGUUAUUUAACCCAUCUUAAACUUAGUUUGCCAACAUCCUCAUCUCUCCAAACUAUAGCCAAAAAUCAGUGAGAAAGGAAUUAAGAAAGGCCCCUAAGCCAAAACCAAAAGACUAGAUGCCAAUGUACAUUGUAGAAAUGUUCAGAGUAAGAGUCUGAGGCAACUCUUUUCUUAUUUAAUACAUUUUGACCAAAAUUUAUCAUUUGGUUUCCAAGAUUACAGUAUUCCAAAAGCAUAUGUUCAGUAAGCAAAUAGGUAUGAGACAGCUACUCAUGAGGAAGUAGGCAAAAAAAUUAUAUAUAUAUAUAUAUUAAUAUAUAUAUUUAUAUAUAUAUAUAUAAGUCAUCCCUCAGUAUACAUGGGGGACUGGUUCCAGGAACCCCCUCUCCCACAACCAAAAUCUGUAGAUGCAAAUGUCCCUUAUACAAAAUGGUGUGGCAUCUGUGUAUCACCUAUGCAUAUUCUCCACUGUGCUUUCAAACACAUCUAGAUUAUUUACACUUAAUACAACAUGUUAUAGAAAUAUUUGUUAUAUGCUAGGGAAUAAUGACAAAGACUGUUCAUGUUGAGUAAAGAUGCACUUUUUUCUUGAAUAUUUUCCAUCUGCAGAUGUUGAAUCCAUGAGUCUAGAAUCCAUGAGUCUAGAAUCCAUGAUAUGGAAGGCCAACUAUAUACACAAAUAAUUUAAAAAAUCAGGGAUUCCUUAUUUAACUCACAAUUUUACUAUAAAAGUUUGAUUUAAAUGAUACUGAAAUUUCUGUCGAUUAAAAAAAUCCAUUUUAUAUGAGUCUAAUAACAAUUGAUUGUAACAUCAAAAUGUUCAGUUUAGUAUGUGCUCUUUAUACAAAAUUUUCCUCCAAAAUUAAUAAAAUAAAAAAGCUCAUAUACUUAAGUCAGGCACCCUUAGUUCUCUGAAAAAAUAUUAAGUUCUUAAAAUGUGUCUUUCCUUAAUCAAAUCUGAAAGUAACUGAGGCUUCAGUGAAAUUAGUUGAUAUUUGUCUAAUGACUCUUCAUUUGAAAACUGGAAAGCAAGUAUGAGCACAAGAUAUUUCUGUAAUUGUAUUAGAAAAUAAAACUUCUUUCUUUUCUCAAACUUUCUCAGCCUCUCUCUCCUAUUUUCCUUUAACCCCUUUGUCCUCUUUUCUGCCCCAACCCCCUUCUUUUCUCCCUCUUAACCUCUCAAUCCUUCCUCUUUGAACCAACCUCCUUCUCUUCCCUUUCUCCAACUGUCUCAGUCCCUUAUACUUUCAACCUCACUCUCCUCUCUGAUCCCUCUUUCUCUGAACUCUACCUUUUUUCUUCAAUAUUGCCUCUCUUUUGCAAGUGCUACAAAGAGGAAAUGUUUUCAGUGUCUUGGUAUUUACUAAAAAAUCUCUGACAUGAAUAUUAGGCUAACAGUUCUGCCUUCAUUGAUCUAGGUAAUACUUUUUGAUAUAGACUCUGAGGAAAAUGAAAGAUGAGAUUUGCAAAAAGGAUUAUCUAAUUCUCACAUUAAUAUGGUUUGUGCUAUUUUUACUUUGUCUCUUAUCCAUCCUCAUCUUUUGAUCAGAUGACAUUAAAGGGGAUUAAAGUUGGGUUGUGUUAAAGUGUCAGACCUGUCUGUCUAUAGUAUCCGCCCCUGUUGUUUGAUCUUCUGGCAGUUAAUUUUGGCACUAGCACAAUCUACUGUGACCUCCUGUAGGACAAGAGAAGCUGCUGAAUUUCCCUAAAAGUUUUAGAGAGUUAUUUGGUUCUCUGUUUUUGGCUUUAGUUUGGCUGUGAUUUUAGAAUGCAGUGGAAGCAUUCUAAAAUUAGAGCCUUUAUUAAAUAGGGCCUACUACUUUAGAGGUGUUUAACUUAAACUUCUUCUAGCUGAAAGCCAUUUUAACCAAGAAAGGACAUAAUGCUUUAUUUCUUUCUUUGACUUUCUUUUCAAGAAUCACUCUCCAUCUUACAUUUCAAUGUGGAAAAUAUGUUGGUUCAAUAUAUGUAUUAGACAGCAAUAUAUUGUGCAAAAUGAUCUAAGAAUCAUGUAGCCAAAUUUAAAGAAAUAAUUUUCAAUUGUGUUUAUUUUCAAAAGCCUUCUUGAGCAUGUACUGUGAAUAGAUAGAGGCACUUAGAUAGAGGAAGUUUCUCUCAUCUUUAGAAUCUAAUUCCAGUCCAGAAGAACAAUAAAUAAGAAUAAUUACCAUUCAACAUGCUAUGAGAGCUGGCAGCCUAGAAACAACCAUCACUUGCUGCAGGGAUGGGUGAAAGUUUUGCAGAAGUAAUAUCUGGGCUGAGCUUUAAAAUUCAAAUAUCAGUUGAUUUGGUUUUUGUGUUUUCUACACCAUUUCUUAUGUUAAAGAAAUCUGCAGUGAGCUCUUUCCCUAUCAACGAUUUCAUAUACUCUGAAUAUCCUGUCAUUAGGGUUACUGGAAUUUUUUUGUUUAUUCUUAUGUCAUAAAUUGCCUGACUUAAUUUCUGCUAGUCCUCUACUUUAUCUUUUAGUUAUAAUUGUCAGUGAUGUAGUUCUGAAAUGGGCUAAGUACAAUCAAUUUAAAGAUAUCAAUUCCUUAAAUAACAAAAUUCUUUCAGGAAAAGUUUCCAGAUUUUCCACUGAUUCUCACGGGAUAGGAUGGGCUUUUUAAGAACAAAUAUGAGCAGAAAAAGCCAGCUCAUCUGGUCAAUGCCAUCAUAGCUCAUAUUCUCCAUGCAGAAGAGAAACAUGCAACUCAUAAAGAGGUAUGUCACCCAACGAGCAACUUUUCCCAUCUUCUGUCCUGUGAACUCCCCCACCACCAACUGAUCAGGAAGGCACAUUUUAGCUCAUGGCCUCCUUGCCAGCUGACCACACAGUAAAGCUCUUUUCUUGUAAAAACCCAGUGCCUUGGUAUGGGCAUCUAAGAGUGUCAAGGCAGUGAUCCUGGCUCAGUAACAAUUUAUGGCAACUCAAAUGUGAAUCUGAGACCUUCACCUACCUGCCCUAGGCAAUGUGGUUCCUCACCGGGGUAGAGUUCUGUGUUUUGACCUUCAGUGGCCACCAGGACUGAUGAUCAUCUGAAAGGCCCGGCCACCUGAACCUGCUCCUGCACUGUGAACACUACCAGCUCUUGGUGCUAACUUCAUUUUAAAUAGCAAAAACAAACUACUCCCAGAAUAAGAUGUGUCCUGGUGAGUAAACCUAUUAAGGGCAACUGGGCCAUGAAUUAAUUUUCUCUCUGGUUUAGAGGCAUAAAUUGUUCUUCUGGUUUUGACUUUUGGGAGUAAAAUAAUCCCUUUGGAAGUCCUGGUUUAUUCUAGUCUAUGGAAUCCAGGCCUAAAGAAGAAUAAUAAGGUUUCACUUGUGGGAUGUCGUUGUUCACCUGAUUUGGUCUGGUUUGGAAAUAUACUCUGGUUUAAUGUGUUUUAUGUGUUCUUUUGUUUAUUAGUUUAUUAGUCUGUGCUUUAGGUAUCUAAAAUCUUGAUGAAGGUGUCAGGGGAACUUAGCUAUGCCAUGUAAUGGUCUUACAGGGAGCCCCCUUGGAAGAAUAUACUCCUCUCCUAGACUGGAAUGAACCCUAACAGCUCAUCCGGGAGGUACACAUAGCAAGCCAUACUUCGAGCUACCCUGCACCCCUUGGUGUUUGGGGGCUUUCUGAGACACAUAAAGGGGAACAUCUGGCCUAUAAGUGACUCUCUGUGAGGGAAUUCCCAUACCCAGCACAUUACUGACCCCCAACAUUUCCCCACCACUGACUUGCUCCAGAUACCUUGCAAAAUUGAUCCUUGAGAUAGCAUUGGGCAGAAUUUAAUUCAAACCCAUUAAGGUAAACUGAUUCAGCAUUCCUAGGAAUAGUUUUGGUGGGAGUUCCCACUGCUGCUUCCCUCUUUUUAAUAGAGUUUCUCCUGCAUUUUUAACUAAUUAAUCUCAUGGUAAUAACUUAUGGCCUUUUCUUGCUAAAUUUGCUUAUGGUUAUAUAUAUAUAUCUACUUUGAUGUUUUAUUUGAUUGACAUACUUAAUUAAAUUUUUUCUUAUAAACACUUUUAAGAUAAUUCUUAAAACUGUAGUUAUAGAUGAAUAUGCAAGGGCUUUUAGUUUUCUGUCCAGUUUCUUUUCUCUACCUAUUUUAAAUCUGUUGGUUAUUCCAGGUGGCUUAUUAGAAGGUUAUUUCAGCCAGUUCUAAUUAAAUAAUAAACAUUUAAGAGUUAACUCCUGGACUCAUGUGAGACUGAGAAAAAGAAAAACGAUAAUAGUUUUUUGAAACAAAAGUCACACUGACUAUAGAGUCCAACACAUGGCAAAACUGGUUGUAGUAUGUGGUUGGUGAAAUGAUCCCCAGAAUAAAAAGAGCCUAUUAAAGACCACAAUGGAAUCUCUGGCCCAUGUAUCUUUGAUUAAGAGAAUGGUUCUUGACUUCCUACUGUCCUCACAAGGGUGAAUCUAUAAAUAUAGCUGUUGCAUAUAUAGUAACACAUCUCAAUAGAUAGAAUUAAAAGUAUCUAAAAUUUUAAAGCUGGCAAAGUCAUGAAAGAUACCCUAACCCUUUGAGUUGGCCUCCCUAACCAUUUUUCAGAUACCUUCAUUUGAUUUUCUGCUAGACUAGGUUCCUUUUUAUGUUCUGUCCUUCAGUUUAAGGUAACACUUAUUCUGUUUUUGAUUGGUCACAAAAUAGUGGCCUUCCACUAGUGAUUCUUAUCCUACCUGAGAGACACAUUCCUCCAGCCAAAACUUAGGCCUAACUAUACCCUGGUUCAGCAAGGAUAUAGCCACAAUAGAGGUUACCCCAGCCUCUCAAGAUUAAAGAAUGAAGAAACACAAAGGGUUACUGAAACUGGUUGAGACAUGUUCAUGUCUGAGCAUAAAGUAAUUAACAAAAUUCUCAAUUUGUUUUUCAGGAAAGCCUCCAUACAUCCCACUAAUUAUUCCUAGUGUUUGGAACCAGCUUUUCAUAGUGGAAACGAGCAGAAAAAGCCAGCUCAUCUGAUCAAUAACAACAAAAGCUCAAAAUCCUAUAUGUAAAACACACACCCCCACCCACUGCAAAGAAACAUGCCAUCCAUCUAACAAGCAAUUUCUCCCAUCUCUCUUCCUAUAAAUUCCCCUGCUACAAAUUGAUCAGGGAGGCAAAUUUAAGCUCCUUUUAAACUUUUGGCCUUCUUGCUCGUUGAAGAUGCAAUAAAGCCUUUUCUUUUUGCAAAAGCCUGGGAUCACAGUAGUGGUUUCAAUGUAUACCAGGCAGCAAGCCCUUGCUUAAUGAUAGUUUCAACAUUUAAUGUUCUUUUGUCAAUUUAACAUAUAUUCAACAUCUGAAGGCUAAUAAGUAUAUAAUUCUUACUGAUGAUAAACAGCUUUUAACAC